rnacentral:rRNA from 1 species
UACGAAGGGUGCAAACGUUGCUCGGAAUUAUUGGGCGUAAAGCGCGCGCAGGCGGCACUUCAAGUAAGGUGUGAAAUCUCCCUGCUCAACGGGGAGGGUGCACUUUAGACUGGGGAGCUAGAGGACGGUAGAGGGGGGUGGAAUUGCUGGUGUAGCGGUGAAAUGCGUAGAGAUCAGCAGGAACACCCGUGGCGAAGGCGGCCCCCUGGGCCGUACCUGACGCUGAGGUGCGAAAGCGUGGGGAGCAAACAGG